CCUACGGUAGCAGCAGUGGGGAAUAUUGGACAAUGGGCGAAAGCCUGAUCCAGCCAUGCCGCGUGUGUGAAGAAGGCCUUCGGGUUGUAAAGCACUUUCAGUGGGGAAGAAAGCCUUGGGGCUAAUACCCUCGAGGAAGGACAUCACCCACAGAAGAAGCACCGGCUAACUCCGUGCCAGCAGCCGCGGUAAUACGGAGGGUGCGAGCGUUAAUCGGAAUUACUGGGCGUAAAGCGCGCGUAGGCGGUCUGAUAAGCCGGUUGUGAAAGCCCCGGGCUCAACCUGGGAACGGCAUCCGGAACGGUCAGGCUAGAGUGCAGGAGAGGAAGGUAGAAUUCCCGGUGUAGCGGUGAAAUGCGUAGAGAUCGGGAGGAAUACCAGUGGCGAAGGCGGCCUUCUGGACUGACACUGACGCUGAGGUGCGAAAGCGUGGGUAGCAAACAGGAUUAGAUACCCUGGUAGUC
rnacentral:rRNA from 1 species